rnacentral:rRNA from 1 species
UACCUGGUUGAUCCUGCCAGUAGUCAUAUGCUUGUCUCAAAGAUUAAGCCAUGCAUGUCUAAGUAUAAACAAUUCUAUACUGUGAACUGCGAAUGGCUCAUUAAAUCAGUUAUAGUUUAUUUGAUAGUACCAUUACUACUUGGAUAACCGUGGUAAUUCUAGAGCUAAUACAUGCGUAAAAACCCGACUUCUGGAAGGGUUGUAUUUAUUAGAUAAAAAACCAACCUGGGCAACCAGUUUUUUGGUGA